rnacentral:rRNA from 1 species
AAGCAUCAGGUAACAUCAAAUCGUACCCCAAACCGACACAGGUGGUCAGGUAGAGAAUACCAAGGCGCUUGAGAGAACUCGGGUGAAGGAACUAGGCAAAAUGGUGCCGUAACUUCGGGAGAAGGCACGCUGAUAUGUAGGUGAAGCGACUUGCUCGUGGAGCUGAAAUCAGUCGAAGAUACCAGCUGGCUGCAACUGUUUAUUAAAAACACAGCACUGUGCAAACACGAAAGUGGACGUAUACGGUGUGACGCCUGCCCGGUGCUGGAAGGUUAAUUGAUGGGGUCAGCCGCAAGGCGA